AAUAGAUACCCGAGGUAGUCCACCCCGUAAACGUUGGGAACUAGUUGUGGGGUCCAUUCCACGGAUUCCGUGACGCAGCUAACGCAUUAAGUUCCCCGCCUGGGGAGUACGGCCGCAAGGCUAAAACUCAAAGGAAUUGACGGGGACCCGCACAAGCGGCGGAGCAUGCGGAUUAAUUCGAUGCAACGCGAAAAACCUUACCAAGGCUUGACAUAUACGAGAACGCUGCAGAAAUGUAGAACUCUUUGGACACUCGUAAACAGGUGGUGCAUGGUUGUCGUCAGCUCGUGUCGUGAGAUGUUGGGUUAAGUCCCGCAACGAGCGCAACCCUCGUUCUAUGUUGCCAGCACGUAAUGGUGGGAACUCAUGGGAUACUGCCGGGGUCAACUCGGAGGAAGGUGGGGAUGACGUCAAAUCAUCAUGCCCCUUAUGUCUUGGGCUUCACGCAUGCUACAAUGGCCGGUACAAAGGGCUGCAAUACCGCAAGGUGGAGCGAAUCCCAAAAGCCGGUCCCAGUUCGGAUUGAGGUCUGCAACUCGACCU
rnacentral:rRNA from 1 species